CAUCAUUUUCACAGAUCUAUCCCGCCUUGAUGUCAAAAGAUUCCCCAGUAAAGAUGAUAACCUCUGUGGUACCUGGAUACGCCGGCCUUCCUGUGCUGCUCCCCUCCAGAAGGGAAAUGGGAGCAAAAGGCAGCCACACAGUCCAGACGAACAAACUGGAUACGACAGAUCCAGACACAACCGGCCGCCGAUGACUUAUCCACACAAACACAGUAUUCUCCUUCUUUCCACUAUGUUCUGAUUAUGGCUUUUGUUUUAAAUGUUUUCAUCUUCACUUUCCUUUCGUCCUUGUCUCAUGGUCAUGCGCCUCCGCUUAUCACUAAGCAGCUUGCUGGAGACAAAAUAUUGUAAAUGCAUAUUAAUCAAGACGCACUUCUUGCAUCUCUCUUACCAUUUUACAUGGGAUUUCUAUUAAUUCAAGGACAAAUUCACAAAGUUAGUAAGAGUAAAAGUCAAAGACUUCAUAUCUUUGGUUUGUGAUUGUAAUUUAUAGCUUCACACAGUGCUGAGAAAUGCUGUUUUUAUAGGUGGAUCUUCAUUAUUUUUGAAAGUUGCGGUUCCAAUGUAAGAUUAGCUGUGACUGGAUUUGAUAAAACACAGACGACCAAUGUCACCAGGCUCUCAAAAUCACUGAAAACAUAACCCUGGACCUCAAGCAAUCUGCAUUUCUGUGCCUCUCCAACUUGUCCUCCAGACCCUGGGACCCUGAUUUCUGAAUGAAAUGCAAAAUGUACAUUCAUCUGAGAAGGGCACUUCUUUCAACCACACUUUUUCCUUCCACUAAACUUUGCAUUCUCACCUAAUCCAGUGCAAUCCAAUCCUGUUUACUUUCACAUGCAUUUAGAGACAAGUGGCUGCCAAAAGCAUUUGGUCAGCUGUCCUUAGACACCGUGAAGGAGAGGAAGGAUGAAGCCAGUCCAAGAGAAGGCAGGAAGUGAGGCCAUUAGGAUGUUUAAAAACAAAAAAAUAA